ensembl:lncRNA
GAAUGCAGUGAACACACACAGCAGUACUCUUUCGCUCCUAGAUGUAGCAUUUUUAUAUCUAAUUUUCUCUUUCUCUCUCUGCCUCUGUGUGCAGAUUCCUCAUGUAGAUUUAUAGGUGGUGAAGGGACAGGUGUUGCUGGUAUCCAACCGUUUGUACAACAGUGUGGUUCUGAUGGGAAACACUAUGAAGUGCCCCCCAACCUCCAGACGGCCAGCAAAGAGCUGGAGGUUGAGGAACUUUGGGUGUUGUGUGCUGCCCUGCCUGAAGUGCCCUGCUGUGCUGUAGCCUUAAGCUCUCCCUCAUGCUCCUUCAUUCUCUGCCAAACAAGUAAACUCUCUCUUUCUCAUCUCAUCUGUAAAGCCAGGCAUUUCAAAGUUGCAUGUAAUUAUCUGACCUCCCAGAUGAGCGUAUUCAUUUGCGUGACCUGUAAUUGACCUUUGACCAUUAGACCUCACUCUAUUCCUUCACAGACCAGAGCUUGCCGAUGUCCCUGAGCGAGUCAUGUCAGCCUCUUCUGUAUCCCCCUGAUGGAGGCUGAAGGAGUCCUGGCCUUCCCACUGCUGCCUUUUUCUGCCACAGUAGACCUGAGCAGCCUAAACCCCAAGCUGCUAAAGGAGGGGCAGCAUGUGGUCAUCGUUGGAGAGGUCCUGAUACUACACAUCAGUGAGAUACUGGAAGAGGUGAAAUGACAAAGGAUCAGUUUGUAGAAGAAUGUCAUUGGCCAGGCAACGAAAACAUUUAAAGUUUAACAUCCUUUGUUUAGCAAAUAUAAUCAGAAGUUAAGCUCCCUGACACAAGACACUACCAUGAAGUACACUGUUUGACUGCUAGGACCCCAUCUCCUUAAAACAUUGCCUAGACUCCAUAGUCUAUAACACCUUAAAUUGAUCAUACAUCACCAUUACAUAGCACUGAAUGAUUAAUCACUUUUAUAUUGGGAUCUCACUUUGAAAGACUGAAGCUAUCACAUCGCAAGAGCUGCC